UACGAAGGGGGCUAGCGUUGUUCGGAAUCACUGGGCGUAAAGCGCACGUAGGCGGACUGUUAAGUCGGGGGUGAAAUCCUGAGGCUCAACCUCAGAACUGCCUCCGAUACUGGCGGUCUCGAGUUCGGAAGAGGUUGGUGGAACAGCUAGUGUAGAGGUGAAAUUCGUAGAUAUUAGCUAGAACACCAGUGGCGAAGGCGGCCAACUGGACCGACAUUGACGCUGAGGAGCGAAAGCCAGGGGAGCAAACGGG
rnacentral:rRNA from 1 species